UACAGAGGUCUCAAGCGUUGUUCGGAUUCAUUGGGCGUAAAGGGUGCGUAGGCGGCGCGGUAAGUCGGGUGUGAAAUCUUGGAGCUUAACUCCGAAACUGCAUUCGAUACUGCCGUGCUUGAGGACUGGAGAGGAGACUGGAAUUUACGGUGUAGCGGUGAAAUGCGUAGAGAUCAUGAGGAAGACCAGUGGCGAAGGCGGGUCUUUGGUCUGUAACUGACGCUGAGGCGCGAAAGCGUGGGGAGCAAACAGG
rnacentral:rRNA from 1 species